rnacentral:lncRNA from 1 species
AGACCCUAAUGGAUUCAAUCAAUGCAUUUAUAGAUGCAGCUUGUAGGGCUUAUGAGCAACGUCGCCGAUAAGGAACUUUUUGUAGACAUCUGGGGAUCUUCUUUUGUAUACCCUAGGCUAUUUUGAAACACUUUUUGUAGUAGAAAUCAAUACUUGUAAUGAUUUCUUCUUUUACCUAUAUACUGACUUCAAAGGUUUACAAUGAUACAUGAAUACAAUUUCUUUUGAAACCUUGUGUAUGUGCUACUGUGUAUGUGUUUCUUGUGAUGUGCCAUAAAAAUCUCAUAACAUACCUUAAGUAUUCAAAUUCAACACAACUUAUCCAUGCAUAUGACACAGGGGGAGCACAUCUUGUGAUAACUAUGUUAAACAAAAAGAGGAGUCUGAAAUGAAUUCCAAAACAAAGGGGGAGUGAUAUGAAUGACUAAAAUUCUUUAAUAGAAAUAACUUGGACAGGGGAAGCACAACUUGAAUCUCCUUGAGUAGUUCAUAGAAGGAUAAUUUGUCCCCUUCAUUGUUGAUGACAGAAAGGGGGAGUAGAUAUAUAGAAGGGGGAGUAGAACCAA